rnacentral:rRNA from 1 species
GAUGAACGCUGGCGGCGUGCCUAAUACAUGCAAGUCGAGCGAACGGACGAGAAGCUUGCUUCUCUGAUGUUAGCGGCGGACGGGUGAGUAACACGUGGAUAACCUACCUAUAAGACUGGGAUAACUUCGGGAAACCGUAGCUAAUACCGGAUAAUAUUUUGAACCGCAUGGUUCAAAAGUGAAAGACGGUCUUGCUGUCACUUAUCGAUGGAUCCGCGCUGCAUUAGCUAGUUGGUAAGGUAACGGCUUACCAAGGCAACGAUGCAUAGCCGACCUGAGAGGGUGAUCGGCCACACUGGAACUGAGACACGGUCCAGACUCCUACGGGAGGCAGCAGUAGGGAAUCUUCCGCAAUGGGCGAAAGCCUGACGGAGCAACGCCGCGUGAGUGAUGAAGGUCUUCGGAUCGUAAAACUCUGUUAUUAGGGAAGAACAUAUAUGUAAGUAACUGCGCACAUCUUGACGGUACCUAAUCAGAAAGCCACGGCUAACUACGUG